GGACUACCAGGGUAUCUAAUCCGGUUCGCUCCCCACGCUUUCGCGUCUCAGCGUCAGGAAAGGCCCAGAGAGCCGCCUUCGCCACUGGUGUUCCUCCCGAUAUCUACGCAUAUCACCACUACACCGGGAAUUCCACUCUCCUCUACCUCCCUCAAGUCUGCCAGUAUCCAAGGACCUCUCCCAGUUAAGCCGGGAGCUUUCACCCUGAACUUAGCAAACCGCCUGCACGCCCUUUACGCCCAGUAAAUCCGGACAACGCUUGCCACCUACGUAUUACCGCGGCUGCUGGCAC
rnacentral:rRNA from 1 species